GCCUGGAUGGCUCAGUUGGUUAAGCGCCUGACUUUGGCUCAGGUCAUGAUCUCACGGCCCGUGGGUUCGAGCCUCACAUUGGGCU
rnacentral:tRNA from 1 species